rnacentral:misc_RNA from 1 species
UUUCCGUAGGUGAACCUGCGGAAGGAUCAUUAAAAAAUAUCACUCGAUUGAGAGUGAUUUAAUAAUCAUCCUACCUUUGUGAAUUUGUUUGUAAUGUUAAAUUUAUGUUGUCUAUCCUUGAAAGUUUGUUCAUUAAUAAACCCAAGGAAUAGGCUUCAUAGACCUUUUUUUUAAAAUUAAACAUUUGUAUUCAUUUGUCUAAAAUUUAUUUUAAAAUAAUUUAAAAACAACUUUUGACAAUGGAUCUCUUGGUUCUCGCAAUGAUGAAGAACGCAGCAAAAUGCGAUAAGUAAUGUGAAUUGCAGAAUACGUGAAUCAUCAAUCUUCGAACGCAUAUUGCACUUUUUAGUUUACUAAAAGUAUGUCUGUUUGAGUAUCAGUAAAUAUUCUCAUAAAAAAAUUUUUUUUUUUUAUGUCAUGAGCGUUUUGCAACGAUAAACAAGUUGUUUCACCUUAAAUUGAUUUUUAAAAGCCAAUUUUUUUGGUUUUUAUCUAAUAAAAUAGGAUAAAAUUUUCCCGUAAAAGGAAUAAACUUUCAGUUUUAAAGGUAAAAAUUGAAAUAUUUAUUGUUGCUUAAUUUAAAAGGAAAAUUUAAUUUAAAAAUAACUUGAUCUCAAAUCAGAUAAGAGUACCGCUGAACUUAAGCAUAUCAAUAAGCGGAGGAAAAGAACUAACAAGGAUUCCUUAGUAACGGCGAGUGAAGCGGGAAGAGCUCAAAUUUGAAAUCUUCAAGUUCUACCUUGACGAAUUGUAGUUUAAAGAAGUGUUUUCUGUUAGAGGAGUAGCAAAAGUUCCUUGGAAUGGACAUCAUAGAGGGUGAGGAUCCCGUAUUUGGUUAUUCUUUCUAGCUUUGUGAUACACUUUCAAAGAGGCGAUGUUUGGGAAUGCAGUCCAAAAUGGGUGGUAAAUUUCAUCUAAAGCUAAUAUUGGCGAGAGACCGAUAGCGAACAAGUACCGUGAGGGAAAGAUGAAAAGAACUUUGAAAGAGAGUUAAACAGUACGUGAAAUUGUCAAAAGGAAGCGUUUGACACCAGUGUUGUUUUUCCGAAAAUCAAUUAAGAAGGGCUUGAUUUGUGUUGUAUUGACCUUAUCAGCUUUCUCCACUCUUUUUCGAGUCUUUCUUAAUGCACUUUCGGUUAACAAGUCAACAUCAAUUUCUUUUGUUGUAAAAGGGUAUUUGGAAGGUGCUUUCUUUUCGGAGAAAGUGUUUAUAGCCUUACACCUCUACAAUCGGAGAGAUUGAGGUCUGCAGCGUAGAUCCUUCGGGCUAGAUACACUUGUGCUAAGUUAUAGCUUUUCAUAGACAACUUGUUGACUAUGUUUAGUCAUGUAGCUUACCCGCUUGUGCUAUUU